UCCGUUAUGGUGUAGUGGCUAACAUUAUCGCCUCUCAUCAGCGUGCUUGAGAUGCAUUUGAUGCGCGAUAGCCCAGGGUUCGAUUCCCUGUAACGGAA